GAUGAACGCUGGCGGCGUGCCUAAUACAUGCAAGUCGAGCGAACAGACGAGGAGCUUGCUCCUCUGACGUUAGCGGCGGACGGGUGAGUAACACGUGGAUAACCUACCUAUAAGACUGGGAUAACUUCGGGAAACCGGAGCUAAUACCGGAUAAUAUAUUGAACCGCAUGGUUCAAUAGUGAAAGACGGUUUUGCUGUCACUUAUAGAUGGAUUCGCGCCGCAUUAGCUAGUUGGUAAGGUAACGGCUUACCAAGGCAACGAUGCGUAGCCGACCUGAGAGGGUGGUCGGCCACACUGGAACUGAGACACGGUCCAGACUCCUACGGGAGGCAGCAGUAGGGAAUCUUCCGCAAUGGGCGAAAGCUUGACGGAGCAACGCCGCGUGAGUGAUGAAGGUCUUCGGAUCGUAAAACUCUGUUAUUAGGGAAGAACAAAUGUGUAAGUAACUAUGCACGUCUUGACGGUACCUAAUCAGAAAGCCACGGCUAACUACGUG
rnacentral:rRNA from 1 species